GCUGACGAGUGGCGAACGGGUGAGUAAUAUAUCGGAACGUACCAUUCAGUGGGGGAUAACGUAGCGAAAGUUACGCUAAUACCGCAUAUUCUGUGAGCAGGAAAGCAGGGGAUCGCAAGACCUUGCGCUGAUUGAGCGGCCGAUAUCAGAUUAGCUUGUUGGUGAGGUAAAAGCUCACCAAGGCGACGAUCUGUAGCGGGUCUGAGAGGAUGAUCCGCCACACUGGAACUGAGACACGGUCCAGACUCCUACGGGAGGCAGCAGUGGGGAAUUUUGGACAAUGGGGGCAACCCUGAUCCACCCAUGCCGCGUGAGUGAAGAAGGCCUUCGGGUUGUAAAGCUCUUUCAGCCGGGAAGAAAACGCAUGGGUUAAUACCCUGUGUGGAUGACGGUACCGGAAUAAGAAGCACCGGCUAACUACGUGCCAGCAGCCGCGGUAAUACGUAGGGUGCGAGCGUUAAUCGGAAUUACUGGGCGUAAAGCGUGCGCAGGCGGUUUUGUAAGACAGGCGUGAAAUCCCCGGGCUUAACCUGGGAACUGCGUUUGUGACUGCAAGGCUAGAGUACGGCAGAGGGGGGUGGAAUUCCACGUGUAGCAGUGAAAUGCGUAGAGAUGUGGAGGAACACCAAUGGCGAAGGCAGCCCCCUGGGUCGAUACUGACGCUCAUGCACGAAAGCGUGGGUAGCAAACAGGAUUAGAUACCCUGGUAGUCCACGCCCUAAACGAUGUCAACUAGGUGUUGGGAGGGUAAAACCUUUUAGUACCGGAGCUAACGCGUGAAGUUGACCGCCUGGGGAGUACGGCCGCAAGGUUAAAACUCAAAGGAAUUGACGGGGACCCGCACAAGCGGUGGAUGAUGUGGAUUAAUUCGAUGCAACGCGAAAAACCUUACCUACCCUUGACAUGCCAAGAACUUUCCAGAGAUGGAUUGGUGCCCGAAAGGGAACUUGGACACAGGUGCUGCAUGGCUGUCGUCAGCUCGUGUCGUGAGAUGUUGGGUUAAGUCCCGCAACGAGCGCAACCCUUGUCGUUAAUUGCCAUCAUUUAGUUGGGCACUUUAACGAGACUGCCGGUGACAAACCGGAGGAAGGUGGGGAUGACGUCAAGUCCUCAUGGCCCUUAUGGGUAGGGCUUCACACGUCAUACAAUGGUCGGUACAAAGGGUCGCCAAGCCGCGAGGUGGAGCCAAUCCCAGAAAGCCGAUCGUAGUCCGGGUCGCAGUCUGCAACUCGACUGCGUGAAGUCGGAAUCGCUAGUAAUCGUGGAUCAGAAUGUCACGGUGAAUACGUUCCCGGGUCUUGUACACACCGCCCGUG
rnacentral:rRNA from 1 species